CGUGUAGGCGGCAGUAUAAGUCCGGAGUGAAAGUCCUGCUUUCAAGGUGGGAAUUGCUUUGGAGACUGUACAGCUUGAGUGCGGAAGAGGUAAGUGGAAUUCCCAGUGUAGUGGUGAAAUGCGUAGAGAUUGGGAGGAACACCAGUGGCGAAGGCGACUUACUGGGCCGUAACUGACGCUGAGGCGCGAAAGCGUGGGGAGCGAACAG
rnacentral:rRNA from 1 species